rnacentral:misc_RNA from 1 species
GUAGGGAAUAAUGGCGCUUCCUCAAAUGUUGAAUCAGAAAAAACAAAUGGAGAUGCAAAGCCUUCUGAUCAGGCAGAAAAUUCAUCUUCUGGAGAUACCAAAUUAUCAGGUUUUAACUCAGAAUCCCAAUCAAACACGUCUCAAUCUGUCAAAAGAAGGAGAAGAGGUGCUAAACGAACUGCAUUUUCUGAUUCAGAUUCAGAUGCUGAAGACGAUCUGUC